GUAAAAGCAAGAUUUCUUAAUCUCAUUUAGGAAUCGCUGUGGUUUACCAGGAGACACCAGGUGUGAUGGUCCCUAUGCAAAUAUGCACAGACAUUUAGUAUGCAGGUAAAAUCAUCAUCUUCAAGGAAAAUUCACGUGGAAGCAUGUUACCACCCAACAGGCUUUUAAGCACAGAAGCAGAAUCCUACUGGAGAAGUUUGCACUAUGAAAACAGUUACAAUAUUAAAUUGCUCACAGGCAGGUAAAAGCCAUCACAUCUACAGACGUGGACAAAGGGUUUCCAGGGUUUCUUCUUACACAGAUCACAAAAUGAGGACCUCGUAAAUCAAAAGAAUACCAUGAAGAGCAGUAUUUCUUAAUGAACAACAAUUAUGUGAUCGGAAGAAUGGCCAACUUUUUGGAAAACUUUAUUAUUGAAAAGCCUGAAACCUUCUUCAAAAGAACAAUUUUCCUCUGUUUGUAUUGGCCUGCUGAUACAACAUCCCAUGAAGUUCAUGAAGCUCACUGCUAGACAAGAACAGUACUUUCUCUUAUCCAUCCUGAACUGCUCUGAUAGUUUUUUCAUGCGGCCCUUGGCUGUACCACCGUGGGAUUUGAUCACCAGCAGUUCAGCAUUCAUCACUGCCCUUGUGGUUUUUGAGCCUCAGCCACAUGGUUUCUUCUAAGGACUCUCCCCUCUAAAAUGAGCACUCUAUUCCUUUCCUCAAAACAUAGCUCUCCCAAGCUUUUAACCAAUUUAGCUGCCCUUCUCUACCUGCUUUACCUCUGCUACAUGUUUCUUUCAGUCACAGGCAACACAAAGUCAUGCUAGCAGACCCAGGACCUGGGUGAGGGUCAGCAGACAGGCAGUAUGUUUGCAGAAUAGCAGCAAGCUGGGAGGCAGCAACAUGGGGUCACUUGAAACAUGCUACAUUACAUCCCUUCCAAACACCAGACUGCCAAGACCAAAGGAAGGGGAACUUCCAUUUAAAGAAAUAUGCAUAAUUGCCUGUUUUAUUAUAUAAAAUAAAUGUGUGGAUGGGUUAUAGAGGUUUCCCAUCCUUUCCCAAUGAGUUCCAAAUGCUAGACUCUCUCAGCUUGCUAUCAUAUGUGAUGUCCGAAGUUAGUAAGACAAAUUCAUUAGGGGCAAAAAAGAUAAGUCCCACAGUAUAUUUUCUGAUACUGCACUCUCAAGUCUCAGCUUACCCUUCUUUAUAGGAGGCUCUAAAAGAUAUAAUACAGUAAUAUGAACUUUUCCAAAAAAUUAGAAAUUAAAUUGACUAGCACAAAAUCAUUUGCAAAUCAUUAAAAUGCAUUUGUAAUACCUGGUUUGAAAUUCAUGCUGCAUUACUCAGUCACCCAGCUUAUUCAUAUGGGAGUAAUGAAACUGUUAUCUGACUUGCAUAUUAACUAGUCUAGUACAAAUCAAAGUAUACAUCUGACUUUCAGUUUUUGAUUGAGCUGCAAGUUUCAAGAUUAUGACCAAUUUAAGAGGAAGGUGAUUUGCAAAACUAGCCACCAGAGCCCUACUUGUAAACUUUUAUAGUGUGCAUGUAAUUGAAAAUUUGCUUUCACCUUUGAGCAUUCAUGCCUCAAAAAUAUGUUUUCCACACCUCUUAUUAAAAAAAAAAAAGGGCAUUUUUGGACAAAGGUUAUUACAGUCAAAUUAAGACCAGCUUUCAAUUCAAAAUCCACGGGGCAUAUUGUAAUAAAUCUGAAGUGUAAUUGAAAUAUGGGUUUCUUUUAGAACUUAAGUUUCAUACUUAAUUUGAAGUAGGGUAUUCUUCUAUGUUGACUACCACACAAAGAAACAGAAAUAAAUUCAAAUUAAGCUGAAAGAAUGAUAAAUUUUUAUGGUUAUCAAAUUUGGAACUUUUGUUGGUCAGAUAUACUGACUUUCUAAACAACAUCUAGCUGUUAUAUGACAGACAGCUUACUUUUACCUGUUACUGUCACCUAGAGACAACAGUCAGGCAUGCAGGGCAUUUUCUGAGGGUGUCUUAAGGGCAGUGUGUGAUUCAAAGAAGAGUACACAAGAGAAAUUGUAAAUAUAUAAAAAUAGUGAAAAAUCAUUUAAGUUUUGUACAUUUUUGGCUGUUAGAAGAUUUUAGAAGUUCCUAAAAUGACAACACAAAUGCAAAACAACUACUGAGUCACCUUCUUAAAAGGCUAGUAGAUCUGUAUUUUGGUAUUGCAGACUGUACCACUGUAUUCCAAAUAUUUGUUUUCCUCUACUUCCAUCUAAUAAAACUGAUUUCAAUCCAAAACACAUGAUGAAUUUGGGAGGAAAAAAAAAGAAUGCGUUAUGAGAUCUCAGUGUAUCAGUUCCAAAUAUAUGGUUUACAGGACACCAUUUUGCUUGCAAGAUCUUCUGAUAGUCUCAACUACAGGAAAUUAAAUGGCAGAAAACAAAGCAUUUCCCAGAGUGUUAGUGGCUCAGCAUUGCAGCCUGUGAAACAAAGCAACAUAAGAACAAUAUUACAGGGAGCAUUAACUCAUACACUCACUAGGCAUCUAGUAUGUGUGAUCAGGUAGGAAAAAACAAUUUCCAGCUAUAAGUCUUUUGUUAAUGUUUUGCUGUUGUAAUUUAGAACCUUUUGGUACUUUCUCACUUUGCAAUGAGAAAGGAAACCACUGUUAAUAACAAUGAGGAGGGUUACUUGUGAAAGAUGAGCCGGAAUAUUGCCUGAAACAAUGACUCACAAAACAGAUGUCAAAUGUAACAUUAUUUACAUCAAAGGCAUUAUCAAAGAUCUCUCUUACUUUGCUAAUUCUUUCUUUGAUUCUGCAUGUAACCUUUAAUAGACUGAAAGUCAUGCUUCAUCCUCUGUGGUGGAGGGCACAGGAACAGACGCGAAAGACACAGCACUUUGGAGCAGGUAGAAAUAAGUCGUCCUGUGUUUUAAUAACAAAAACCCAGAGCAAUCACCUACAAAGAAUACACUAAUGGUAUUUGAAAUUUCAACCCACAAUUGUAACUGGGCUUCUGUGUCAAAACUGGUCACAAAGUUAGGUUUUAUUCUAAAAUAUGACUAUGAAUAUAUGCCAUACUUGCCAUAGAGGAAGUGACUCUCGUAUCUAGACUCAGGCUCUGUCUGCUACUGGAGCCUGCAUGGUACAUAAGUAACAGACAACAGUGGUAAGGGCCUUGUUUCUGCUCUACUCCAUAUUUAACAAAGAGGUACAGAAUGUCACCUUCACUUUGGAACUAGGCAUUUGUGUAGGUAUUAGUCAAUCAGCUAGUUAUGAUAUUAGCAUGGACUUAUACAAAAAAUAAGGAGAAGAGUUUACCUUAAAUGAAUUGCAGAAUCCAGGGCACCAGAGGAAACCAACUCAAAAUGAAGAAUUUGUCUGUGCUAAUAUAAACACUGAAGUGCAUCACCUAUUCAUUAAAGCUUUAGGAGCCUUUGUGAGAGAGGGCUGGGGCUCAAAACACAACUUUUGACAAACAGAUUGGGCACUUGCAACGUAAGCAGAGACCAAGUAGCUUCUGAGCAGCAAGGAAACAGAGCUAUGGCUUAGAGGUUAUGGAGAAGAGAUUUUUCUGGAGAUCUGAGCUGCAUUUAUUCUGUCUUUCAGAAAUUGCCAAAAAUAUCACAAAUCUGAGAGAAGGGAUACAUUGAAGGCAGCUUAUAUAUAACUCCUUUGUAUUUUACUGU